GGAGGGUGCAAGCGUUGUUCGGAAUUAUUGGGCGUAAAGAGCGUGUAGGCGGUCCGGUAAGUCAGAUGUGAAAGCCCUGGGCUCAACCCAGGAAGUGCAUUUGAAACUACCAGACUCGAGUACGGGAGAGGAGGGGGGAAUUCCCGGUGUAGAGGUGAAAUUCGUAGAUAUCGGGAGGAAUACCAGUGGCGAAGGCGCCCUCUGGACCGAUACUGACGCUGAGACGCGAAAGCGUGGGGAGCAAACAGGAUUAGAUACCCUGGUAGUCCACGCCGUAAACGAUGAGCACUAGGUGUAGCGGGUAUUGACCCCCCUGCUGUGCCCGUAGCUAACGCAUUAAGUGCUCCGCCUGGGGGACUACGGUCGCAAGACUA
rnacentral:rRNA from 1 species